rnacentral:rRNA from 1 species
AGAGUUUGAUCAUGGCUCAGAUUGAACGCUGGCGGCAGGCCUAACACAUGCAAGUCGAACGGUAACAGGAAGCAGCUUGCUGCUUCGCUGACGAGUGGCGGACGGGUGAGUAAUGUCUGGGAAGCUGCCUGAUGGAGGGGGAUAACUACUGGAAACGGUAGCUAAUACCGCAUAAUGUCGCAAGACCAAAGAGGGGGACCUUCGGGCCUCUUGCCAUCGGAUGUGCCCAGAUGGGAUUAGCUUGUUGGUGGGGUAACGGCUCACCAAGGCGACGAUCCCUAGCUGGUCUGAGAGGAUGACCAGCCACACUGGAACUGAGACACGGUCCAGACUCCUACGGGAGGCAGCAGUGGGGAAUAUUGCACAAUGGGCGCAAGCCUGAUGCAGCCAUGCCGCGUGCAUGAAGAAGGCCUUCGGGUUGUAAAGUACUUUCAGCGGGGAGGAAGGGAGUAAAGUUAAUACCUUUGCUCAUUGACGUUACCCGCAGAAGAAGCACCGGCUAACUCCGUGCCAGCAGCCGCGGUAAUACGGAGGGUGCAAGCGUUAAUCGGAAUUACUGGGCGUAAAGCGCACGCAGGCGGUUUGUUAAGUCAGAUGUGAAAUCCCCGGGCUCAACCUGGGAACUGCAUCUGAUACUGGCAAGCUUGAGUCUCGUAGAGGGGGGUAGAAUUCCAGGUGUAGCGGUGAAAUGCGUAGAGAUCUGGAGGAAUACCGGUGGCGAAGGCGGCCCCCUGGACGAAGACUGACGCUCAGGUGCGAAAGCGUGGGGAGCAAACAGGAUUAGAUACCCUGGUAGUCCACGCCGUAAACGAUGUCGACUUGGAGGUUGUGCCCUUGAGGCGUGGCUUCCGGAGCUAACGCGUUAAGUCGACCGCCUGGGGAGUACGGCCGCAAGGUUAAAACUCAAAUGAAUUGACGGGGGCCCGCACAAGCGGUGGAGCAUGUGGUUUAAUUCGAUGCAACGCGAAGAACCUUACCUGGUCUUGACAUCCACGGAAGUUUUCAGAGAUGAGAAUGUGCCUUCGGGAACCGUGAGACAGGUGCUGCAUGGCUGUCGUCAGCUCGUGUUGUGAAAUGUUGGGUUAAGUCCCGCAACGAGCGCAACCCUUAUCCUUUGUUGCCAGCGGUCCGGCCGGGAACUCAAAGGAGACUGCCAGUGAUAAACUGGAGGAAGGUGGGGAUGACGUCAAGUCAUCAUGGCCCUUACGACCAGGGCUACACACGUGCUACAAUGGCGCAUACAAAGAGAAGCGACCUCGCGAGAGCAAGCGGACCUCAUAAAGUGCGUCGUAGUCCGGAUUGGAGUCUGCAACUCGACUCCAUGAAGUCGGAAUCGCUAGUAAUCGUGGAUCAGAAUGCCACGGUGAAUACGUUCCCGGGCCUUGUACACACCGCCCGUCACACCAUGGGGGUGGGUUGCAAAAGAAGUAGGUAGCUUAACCUUCGGGAGGGCGCUUACCACUUUGUGAUUCAUGACUGGGGUGAAGUCGUAACAAGGUA